rnacentral:misc_RNA from 1 species
AACGCAAAUGGCGCUUUUGAUCACUCAAAAGCAUGUCUGUCUGAGAGUCGAUAAAACACCUCUUUCAACACAUGCAAAUGUGAAGAAAGGAAAUGAGGGAGAAUCGCAAUGCAUUGAAACAAUAUGCGUUGAGUCCCUUUAAAUGAAAGGAUUUAAAUGGAAAGAUGAUGUUUUCAUCCAUUCCUCACACCAAAAGUGAGACAAACUUUGUUUCAUGAUUAAGUCGUAAGGUUAAUGAACAACUAAUCUUUACUUCAUUUCAAUCAUUUUACCCAUAUCUCAAAUUAACUUCCGACCUCAGAUCAGACAAGACUACCCGCUGAAUUUAA